AGUCGGAGAGAGGGAGGCGUGUGACGGGGCAACUGGUGUUUCCGGUGGCGAUCCAUGACUCGAUGCUUGUGCGGUCGUAAGUCUGACCGGUUGAGACGGUUACUGGAUCGGUCAUAAGCUCCAAUGAGAUUGGGCAUCUGAAAUGGUAAGGUAUUUGGAUUCCGAGAUCCAACGGUUCUAAGUUCCCCGGCAUUUUUGGAAGUUUUUUUUCUGAGCUUUUAGGAUUUGUUUUUCUUUUUUUGGAAUUUGAGAGAAGGAAGACGAAGGAAGGAGGAGACCUUAUCUGCGCAGGGUAUGCGCCACACGUGUGGCUUUUAUAACUUUGUUGGUUAGUUCUCAUCUGG
rnacentral:lncRNA from 1 species